GAUGAACGCUAGCGGCAGGCCUAACACAUGCAAGUCAGGGGUAACAUAGGAAAGCUUGCUUUUCUGAUGACGACCGGCGCACGGGUGCGUAACGCGUAUACAACCUACCUUUUAGCGGGGAAUAGCCCAGGGAAACUUGGAUUAAUGCCCCAUAGGAUAUAGACUUCUCCUGAAGUUUAUAUUAAACAUUUAUGGCUAUUAGAUGGGUAUGCGUCCUAUUAGUUAGUUGGUAAGGUAACGGCUUACCAAGGCAGCGAUAGGUAGGGGUCCUGAGAGGGAGAUCCCCACACUGGUACUGAGACACGGACCAGACUCCUACGGGAGGCAGCAGUGAGGAAUAUUGGACAAUGGGCGAGAGCCUGAUCCAGCCAUGCCGCGUGCAGGAAGACUGCCCUAUGGGUUGUAAACUGCUUUUACAGAGGAAGAACCACCCCACGUGUGGGGGUUUGACGGUACUCUGCGAAUAAGGAUCGGCUAACUCCGUG
rnacentral:rRNA from 1 species